GAAUAUUUGCAGCUUUUCCAUCUUUUUCUGACUGCGUUCAGUUCAGAUGAUCUUUUAGUUCCUUCCUGCAGAGAUCUGAACUUUCCACCAUGAUUCCUGUCUGAUUCCAGCAGAGCAGCAACACAGAUGAUGGUUUAAAGACAAACUGAAGCAGAUGCAGACAGGAAGGAUUGAUGGCUGCAGUUAGUUGGUGUGGACAGCAGGUGGCGCUGCUGCAUGGCACACAGAGGGAGAGCAGCAGCUUCCUGCAGGGACACAUGAAGAGCAGCAUGAAGCUGAGCUGGGAGACAUGAAGCUUUAACAUCUGCUGAACUCUUCAGCUCCUCUUUCCCUCAGAUCUGCCCUGAAGCAGCUUUAAGGUGGAAAACUGCUGCAGCUGGAGGAGAUUCAGCAAAACCAACAUGUUGCUUUGCUUUCUGUCCCAGAAGCUCCAGAGGAGGCUUGGCAGCAUGAAGGUCACCCAGAGAAGAAGCAGCAGCCGUGGUUCUGUUAUGGAUCAAGGUACCGUGGUCCAUGAAAGGCUCAUUAAAACAGAACCUUAGAAACUAGAGAAUGGGCUUUUACUGCAGAAAAGUUUACAGUCCUAACAGAGUUUCAUUUAAAGACGUUUUGGUUCCAGGUGGUUCUGUAGGAGUCGGACCCUGGAGCGGGCUCAGGAACCCGACUGCAGGUUGAGGUUGUUCAGUAGAAUCCAGUUUCUACCAAUGAGUUCUGUGGUGCUGCUCGGUUGGCCUUUAACUUUUUAAUCUAUAAACCUUAACAAGGAUCAGAUCUGCGGUGAGUCUGGACUGAGAUCUUGGAGAACGGUGGAAAUGCUGAGGUGAAACCAGAACAUGUUUUAAAAAACAUGCUUGCGGCUGUAGAACAUUGUAAUUCAUGUGAAUAAAUGAAUAUAUUAGUAUUUUUUACAUCAACUCAUAAGUUAUCCGAAACUUUGCUGGAGCGCACUGUUAAAGUACUUUGGAGGCAAAGAAUCAGCCCAGUGCCAAUCCACAUCUCUAUCCUCUACAGAGCUCACACCCUGUCCUGUGUCCACUGUCCCCUCCAUGACUGCAACCACAGUUGAUCUACCUGCAUCCUCCACCACAACGUCCACUUCUCACAGCGGAUCAUCAUCAGCUCCACCAGCUGACCCAGCUUAGUGACCUUCUUUUCUCUCUGAUUGAGCUGGUGAUCAGAGGAACCUGCCUAUCAAGGAGAACUUUUCAUUCCUUUAAAAGGGUCUUCUGGUCUGAGAACCAGGAUCUCUGGCUUUGAGGAGCAGAGUCUCCUCCACUGCUGCAGCACCAGAACCAUUUUAUCUGCAGGACGCAGGAAACUGGAGCAAUAAAAAGGUUAGAUGGUUAAACGGCUGCAGAAGCUGCUUCUGCUGCCUGAAUCCUUCCUUCCUGCUGUGGCCUGAACCUUCAGCAGCAGAUGUUGGGCUGCGGUUCUUUUUCUUCUCAGGGAGAGUUUGAGGAGCAGAGAACCAGGCUGGAAGCUGCUUCUGCCUCACAGAAGAGGACAAGUUCAACCACGGCUGAAGUUACUGAAGCUAAAUCUUUAUGUGGACUUUAGAAAAUGUUUUCCUGAAGCAGAACACUGCGAUAGACUGGCCACCUGUCCAGGGCGUACCACGCCUCUCACCCAUUGACAGCUGGAGAUAG